UACGUAGGGCGCAAGCGUUGUCCGGAAUUAUUGGGCGUAAAGAGCUCGUAGGCGGCUUGUCACGUCGGGUGUGAAAGACCGGGGCUUAACCCCGGUUCUGCAUUCGAUACGGGCUGGCUAGAGUGUGGUAGGGGAGAUCGGAAUUCCUGGUGUAGCGGUGAAAUGCGCAGAUAUCAGGAGGAACACCGGUGGCGAAGGCGGAUCUCUGGGCCAUUACUGACGCUGAGGGACGAAAGCUAGGGGAGCGAAUGGG
rnacentral:rRNA from 1 species